CUGCCCACUGCCCCGGAAACAUCAGAGCACAUCUCUGCCCUGAGCUCAAGUGAUCGAAGGUGUAGCUGAGAGUAACCAUCCAUCCAUCCAUCCAUGCAUCCAUCUUCUUCCACUCAUCCGGGAGCGGGUCGCGGGGUCAGCUGUCUAAAAAAAGAUGUCCAGACUUCCAUCUCCCCAGAUUUCAAACACUUUUCGACCCAGGCGCUGGAACCCGGAAGAAACACAGAGAUGGACGAGCGUGGCAGGUAAGAUGUUUUAAUAAUCAGGUAGUUGAGAGAUCGAGAGCAGGAUCCUGGAUUCCCAAACAUGCGAAGAACAGACUUCGGUGGCGUCACUGGUGGAUUCUUCUGCAGGCCUUCGGCAGGAGUCGUUGUCGUCGGUGGGGGUCCGAGAGAUGAGAGGAGAUAGCAGAGGCUCGAGGUGUAACCAGCAGGAGAAGACAGAGAAGGUUCCGGACUGAGGCUGAUUCUGGUGACCACUUGUGGCUAUGGAUUCCUGGAGGAAUUCAUAAACACGAGUGGUCGCCUGAGUCUUCUUCACCCACGGAUCCAAGCCACAGCAUUCCCUCCUGUCACGCCUAGAGCCUCUGCCGUAACUCUAGAGACACCACGAGCCUCUGCCGACCCACCAGUGACGCCACGGGCCACCGGACCGAACCAUCCUCGCCGCGGGUUCCUCCAAGGACGUCAACUCCCCCAAGAACAAUCCACAAACCAAGAAUCAAUAUUAAAACCUUCUUUCAUUCCACCACGUACUCACCUGUGUUUCUUCCGGGUUCCAGCGUCUGGGUCUAUUCGUUACGCUCGUCAUGACAAUACUA